rnacentral:rRNA from 1 species
UACGUAGGGUGCAAGCGUUAAUCGGAAUUACUGGGCGUAAAGCGCGCGCAGGCGGCUUUGCAAGACAGAUGUGAAAUCCCCGGGCUCAACCUGGGAACUGCAUUUGUGACUGCAUGGCUAGAGUGCGGCAGAGGGGGAUGGAAUUCCGCGUGUAGCAGUGAAAUGCGUAGAUAUGCGGAGGAACACCGAUGGCGAAGGCAAUCCCCUGGGCCUGCACUGACGCUCAUGCACGAAAGCGUGGGGAGCAAACAGG